rnacentral:rRNA from 1 species
UACGUAGGGUGCAAGCGUUAUCCGGAAUUAUUGGGCGUAAAGAGCUCGUAGGCGGUUUGUCGCGUCUGCUGUGAAAACUGGAGGCUCAACCUCCAGCCUGCAGUGGGUACGGGCAAACUAGAGUGCGGUAGGGGAGAUUGGAAUUCCUGGUGUAGCGGUGGAAUGCGCAGAUAUCAGGAGGAACACCGAUGGCGAAGGCAGGAUCUCUGGGCCA